rnacentral:rRNA from 1 species
UACGUAGGGGGCUAGCGUUGUCCGGAUUUAUUGGGCGUAAAGAGCGUGUAGGCGGCCAGGUAGGUCCGUUGUGAAAACUCGAGGCUCAACCUCGAGACGUCGGCGGAAACCCUCUGGCUAGAGUCCGGAAGAGGAGAGUGGAAUUCCUGGUGUAGCGGUGAAAUGCGCAGAUAUCAGGAAGAGCACCCGUGGCGAAGGCGGCUCUCUGGGACGGUACUGACGCUGAGACGCGAAAGCGUGGGGAGCAAACAGG